rnacentral:rRNA from 1 species
UACGGGGGGGGCAAGCGUUGUUCGGAAUUACUGGGCGUAGAGGGCUCGUAGGCGGCCAACUAAGUCACACGUGAAAUCCCUCGGCUCAACCGGGGAACUGCGUGUGAGACUGGAUGGCUUGAGUUUGGGAGAGGAAUGCGGAAUUCCAGGUGUAGCGGUGAAAUGCGUAGAUAUCUGGAGGAACACCGGUGGCGAAGGCGGCAUUCUGGACCAAUACUGACGCUGAGGAGCGAAAGCCAGGGGAGCAAACGGG